rnacentral:ncRNA from 1 species
UGCUUAUGGCGAUGUGACGGUUCCAUUCGCGUCAAGUCGCGCGGAUGGUGAAAAUGGGAACGCGGUGCGACACCUUUGGUGUCAAUGCCGAGACUGCCCCCGCAACUGUAAGCGGCGAGUCCGCUCCGGUUAUACCACUGACGGCCUCAUUCUGGAGGCCCUCGGGAAGGUCGGAGAAGACGCUUGAGCCGCAAGUCAGGAGACCUGCCAUCACAAGCUGCCCAUCU